rnacentral:rRNA from 1 species
GUGCACGCUGGCGGUAGGCCUAACCCCUGCAAGUCGAACGGCAGCACAGUAAGAGCUUGCUCUUACGGGUGGCGAGUGGCGGACGGGUGAGGAAUACAUCGGAAUCUACUUUUUCGUGGGGGAUAACGUAGGGAAACUUACGCUAAUACCGCAUACGACCUACGGGUGAAAGCAGGGGAUCUUCGGACCUUGCGCGAUUGAAUGAGCCGAUGUCGGAUUAGCUAGUUGGCGGGGUAAAGGCCCACCAAGGCGACGAUCCGUAGCUGGUCUGAGAGGAUGAUCAGCCACACUGGAACUGAGACACGGUCCAGACUCCUACGGGAGGCAGCAGUGGGGAAUAUUGGACAAUGGGCGCAAGCCUGAUCCAGCCAUACCGCGUGGGUGAAGAAGGCCUUCGGGUUGUAAAGCCCUUUUGUUGGGAAAGAAAAGCAGCAGGUUAAUACCCCGCUGUUCUGACGGUACCCAAAGAAUAAGCACCGGCUAACUUCGUG